rnacentral:rRNA from 1 species
GGACGAACGCUGGCGGCGUGCCUAACACAUGCAAGUCGAACGGAGUUAAGUGCUUCGGUAUUUAACUUAGUGGCGAACGGGUGAGUAACGCGUGAGAAACCUGCCUUUCAGUGGGGGACAACAGUUGGAAACGACUGCUAAUACCGCAUAAGCCACUAGGCUCGCAAUGGAAGCUAGGGGAAAGGAGUGAUCCGCUUUGAGAUGGCCUCGCGUCCGAUUAGCUAGUUGGUGGGGUAACGGCCCACCAAGGCGACGAUCAGUAGCCGGUCUGAGAGGAUGAACGGCCACAUUGGGACUGAGAUACGGCCCAG